rnacentral:lncRNA from 1 species
GAAAGAUUGUGGCAUAUUACUGAACUAAGCAACCUAGUGACGUGUCUCUUCUGACUGGGGCUUGCCCACAGAGACAACUGUGACAUAGCACUGAGCCCAGGACCCAGGUGAUGUGACUCUGCUGCCUGUUUCCAACAUUCAUGAGAGGAUGGUAACUAUCCCUUGCCAAGAACUCAGGUGAUUUGACUGUCCUGCCUUGUUGCUGCCCUCAGAGAAGAUUGUGAUAUAUCUUCAGCCCCAAACCCAGACUUUCCUGCAGGAGUGAUGCUGACAUGUUCCUCUAUUUGGCAUCUGAGUGAUAUGACUCUUGCCAUGGUCUAGCCCACAGAUGGAAUUGUGAUGUGUUGCUGUACCCAGCACCUAGUUUUUGCCCACAGGGGAGAUUGUGACAUAUCACUGGGCCUCAAACUAAGGUGAAGUUACACUUUCAUUUUCGAACUGUACUCAGAAGGCAUCGUGACAUAUUCCUGGGCCCAGCACCAAGGUGAUGUGAGUCUCCUGCCUGCACUUUGCCCACAAAUGGCAUUGUAACAUAUCUUUAGACCUAUCAACUACUUGAUAUGACUUAUUUUUUUAAAGUGAAAGCAAGUUUAUUAGAGAAGUAAAUAAACAAAAGAAUGGCUACUCCAU